AACGAACGCUGGCGGCAUGCCUAACACAUGCAAGUCGAACGAGACCUUCGGGUCUAGUGGCGCACGGGUGCGUAACGCGUGGUAACCUGCCCUUAGGUUCGGAAUAACUCCCCGAAAGGGGUGCUAAUACCGGAUAAUGUCUUCGGACCAAAGAUUUAUCGCCUUUGGAUGGGCCCGCGUUGGAUUAGCUAGUUGGUAGGGUAAAAGCCUACCAAGGCGACGAUCCAUAGCUGGUCUGAGAGGAUGAUCAGCCACACUGGGACUGAGACACGGCCCAGACUCCUACGGGAGGAAGCAGUGGGGAAUAUUGGACAAUGGGAGAAAGCCUGAUCCAGCAAUGCCGCGUGAGUGAUGAAGGCCUUAGGGUUGUAAAGCUCUUUUACCCGGGAUGAUAAUGACAGUACCGGGAGAAUAAGCUCCGGCUAACUCCGUG
rnacentral:rRNA from 1 species